UAGGGAAUCUUCCACAAUGGACGCAAGUCUGAUGGAGCAACGCCGCGUGAGUGAAGAAGGCUUUCGGGUCGUAAAACUCUGUUAUUGAAGAAGAACGUGUGUGACAGUAACUGGUCAUGCAGUGACGGUAUUCAAUCAGAAAGUCACGGCUAACUACGUGCCAGCAGCCGCGGUAAUACGUAGGUGGCAAGCGUUGUCCGGAUUUAUUGGGCGUAAAGCGAGUGCAGGCGGUCUUUUAAGUCUGAUGUGAAAGCCUUCGGCUUAACCGAAGAAGGGCAUCGGAAACUGGGAGACUUGAGUGCAGAAGAGGAGAGUGGAACUCCAUGUGUAGCGGUGAAAUGCGUAGAUAUAUGGAAGAACACCAGUGGCGAAGGCGGCUCUCUGGUCUGUAACUGACGCUGAGGCUCGAAAGCGUGGGUAGCAAACAGGAUUAGAUACCCUAGUAGUCCACGCGUAAACGAUGAAUACUA
rnacentral:rRNA from 1 species